rnacentral:rRNA from 1 species
GUCUAUGGCCAUACUACCUGAACGUGCUGUGCUUGAUCUCAUCUGGUCUCAGAAGCUAAGCAAGGUCAGAGCUGGUUAGUACUUAGAUUGGAGAAGUUGGCUUUUGACA